rnacentral:rRNA from 1 species
CUCUGUGACUCCUACGGGAGGCAGCAGUGGGAAUAUUGCACAAUGGGGGAAACCCUGAUGCAGCCAUGCCGCGUGUGUGAAGAAGGCCUUCGGGUUGUAAAGCACUUUCAGUAGGGAGGAAGGUAGUGUAGUUAACACCUGCAUUAUUUGACGUUACCUACAGAAGAAGCACCGGCUAACUCCGUGCCAGCAGCCGCGGUAAUACGGAGGGUGCGAGCGUUAAUCGGAAUUACUGGGCGUAAAGCGCAUGCAGGCGGCCUGUUAAGUCAGAUGUGAAAGCCCGGGGCUUAACCUCGGAAUUGCAUUUGAAACUGGCAGGCUAGAGUCUUGUAGAGGGGGUAGAAUUUCAGGUGUAGCGGUGAAAUGCGUAGAGAUCUGAAGGAAUACCAGUGGCGAAGGCGGCCCCCUGGACAAAGACUGACGCUCAGAUGCGAAAGCGUGGGGAGCAAACAGGAUUAGAUACCCUGGGAG